CCUACGGGAGGCAGCAGUAGGGAAUCUUCCGCAAUGGACGAAAGUCUGACGGAGCAACGCCGCGUGAGCGAAGAAGGUCUUCGGAUCGUAAAGCUCUGUUGUCAGGGAAGAACAAGUACCGUUCGAAUAGGGCGGUACCUGACGUACCUACAGAGAUGG
rnacentral:rRNA from 1 species